UACAGAGGGUGCAAGCGUUAAUCGGAAUUACUGGGCGUAAAGCGCGCGUAGGCGGUUCGUUAAGUUGGAUGUGAAAUCCCCGGGCUCAACCUGGGAACUGCAUUCAAAACUGACGAGCUAGAGUAUGGUAGAGGGUGGUGGAAUUUCCUGUGUAGCGGUGAAAUGCGUAGAUAUAGGAAGGAACACCAGUGGCGAAGGCGACCACCUGGACUGAUACUGACACUGAGGUGCGAAAGCGUGGGGAGCAAACAGG
rnacentral:rRNA from 1 species